rnacentral:lncRNA from 1 species
UGUAGAGCUGGAUGUGAGGGCAAGACCAGAGGGUGGGGGCUCUGCAGAAAAAGAUGACACUUGAUUUUUCUGUGCAUUUCUGGCAGCUUGGGAUCUCCAUCUUCAUCUUGGGGUUGUUCAAAGAUUAAGGAGUAAAUGUAAAUAGGACCACAUGAAAUUGCUGUUUUCAUAGGUCAAGAACAGCCAAAUACUGGCAGUUUCAUUUUAUCCAACCUAGUAUAUGUAAUGAGUUAAAACAGUGCCAGAAAAACAGUAAGCCCUCAAGGUGUAAACUAUUAUCAUUGUCAAUAUUAUCAUCCUGUAGCUGUUUCUCUCUCUCCUUGAAAACAUACUGAAUUGUGGUUGUAAAAUGAUACAUGCUUCUUUUAAAGAAUUAAAGCAUUGUGGAGAAGUAUGAAGACAACAAUAAAUUAUCUUAACUCUUACUGCCCAUCAAUAAUUAUCACUAACAAUAGAUGGAUUAGAUAGACAGAAAUAUAUUUACGAUAUUGGAAUCAUACUGAAAAUGCUUUUUUUUCUUAAUGAAAACUAUCAAAUUUUCAUUAACAGAAGCUAAUGAUAAUGAUAAUAACAACCCACCAAGCAAACCAUCAAGACCCCCCCCAAACUCUCAAAUGAGUGAAGAGAAUUGCUGAACUCAAAAUAAGUCUUCCUUCAAGAUGAGAAAUAUCUCUUGAAAGAGCAUGCAAAGGUUAAAAAAGGAGCUUAUGGGAAAUAGUAAAAGGUCAGAGUUACUAUGUUUGCCUCACCCCAGUCCAGAGUAUACCAUUCUAAUGUGGGAACAGUGUUACAGGCUUUGGGGUGGUGUUCCAGUUCUGUUCAGAGCCUGGAAAAUUUUGCUUGUUUCAUCGCUCACAUGGACUCUUACUGGUCUCUGCCCAGAGGUAAUUUUCAUUACCGUCUAGUCAGAAGAAGGAAAAGAUAAGGGGACAGUCAUAUCCUUGGUUCCAUCUUCUUUGGAUUUGGAAGUUCAUCUUUUUAAAAUGACAUGAGGAAGUCAGCCAUAUUGCACUCUGUGAAUACAGAUUAAUUCUUCACUUGCCCUACCCCUUGCCUCUCACUCUUUGGAGUUAAUGAUAUUAAGUUGAGCUUAUUUCUUUUUGGGGGGAACUCUGGUGGGUAGUUACAAUAGUUUUCUCCCUCACUAUUUUUAAAUAGUUUUGGUUUACGUCAUUAUAUGAAGUGAAGGGAGUUGUGAUCAAGUCAUACUCUUUUGUCUUCUUCUGGAAGUCUGGUUACAGAUGUUUUGAUGCUUUGUUAUUUGACUCACAAAAGUUCAUUACUAGUAUUUCUUCACUGUUAGAUGAACCUUCCCAAAUAUUAUAUAUUUUCCAAAAUAUAUUUGUUUACUUUACUGAAAGUAUAUGAAUUCACAUACACAGAGUUGUUAGCCAAUGUAAUGCAUUUUACCUUAUCAGUCUGACUACCCUGGUGAUCCAGUGGUUAGGACUCCACACUUCCAGUGCAGGGGGAACUAAGACCCCCACAUGCCAUGCACGAUAUAUGAGAGCUGGACGUGACUGAGGACACACAUGCACACGUGUGGUGCAUUAGGCCCUAAGUCGUGUCCAGUUUCUUGCAGCCCCAAGGACUGUGGCCCAGCAGGCUCCUCUGUCCAUGGGGUUUCCCAGGCAAGAAUACUAGAGGAGGUCACCAUUUCCUUCUGUAGGGGAUGGCAGAUUCUGUACCACAGCACCUUAUGGGAAGCCCUAGGCAUGUUGUUGUUGAGUCACUAAGUUGUGUUCGACUCUUUGUGACCCCAUGACCUGCAGCACACCAGGCUUCCCUGUCCUUCACU